CAUGGUGUGGCAACACCGCAAGAGUAGUACACCCUCUGUCCAUGAAAGGAUGUCGCGUGGUGUUUUUCGCGAAAAAAACUCUCGCGUUUUCUCCGACAAGCAUCGCGGUCCUCCCGCUUUCUCUCGCUUCGCAUCGUCUCCUGCUCCGCAUCGCCUCCGCCGCAUCUUCUCCGCGUCUCGCCCGUCGCCCGCGCCGCGCCUCGCUCGCGCCUGCGCCUGCGCCGCGCUGCUCCCCCGAGCCUCCUCCCACGAUUCGGACGCCUUCUCCCACGAUUUGGCGCCUCCGUGCAGCACCGCUCCGCGGUGCCGCUCCGCCGCCCGUCGCCCGUGCCGCGCUGCUCCUCCUCGAAGUUGGUUCAGCAGCAGAAGAUUGAGGUGGCUCGGUGGCUCCUCCACCUUGGAUUCGAUCUGGAGGGGCAUGGGGACGAGUGAGGCGACAGCGGGCGGCGGGUGGCGUCUCCUCCACCGUGGCUUCCACCUUUGUCCUCCAUGGCGGGCGGCAGCGCGGAAGUGGGCGGCGGCGCGGAAGUGGGUGGUUCGACGACCGGCGGGCCCUCUUCCUCGUCGUUCCCCAUCUCCUGCAAGCUCCGUUUGGGAGUAUCAGAAAAGAAGGCCUUUUUAUCUAACCAACUUCGAGCAAUACGAUAUCAGGAAGUUGAGCAGAGCUACAUUAUGAUCAAACCUGACGGUGUUCAACGUGGUCUGAUCAGAGCUUAUUGAAACUUACUCAUUGGAGAGCACUGAUAGAGCAUCCAAUUUCAUCAUUGUCCCUAAUCUGCAGUACAAGUACAGUGGUGAAUUUCAUCAUUAUGUUUUCUGAUACAGAGAUAGAUGCUAAAAAACACAUUCAGUGUGGUAAGAUGCAUACAAAGAAUAUAGAAAUGUUUCAGAAAUCAUCACAGAAUCAUCAUAGAAAUCACCCAUUAACAACAUCACUAUUUAUUGAAGCAGAUUUACACUCUGAACUAAACCGUAAGGAGAACAAGAAUUCUAUGUUCCAUUAAUCUAGGAUUUCAGCCACAUGGGCAGAGAAUGGAGACAAACAAAAAGAAAAUGAGUCUAGCCACAUGGGAACUCUGAUCCGUAUUCUAUUCCAAUGAACUUUGCCAAUGCUGUUACAACUGCAGUUCAGGUUCAGGCACAAUUGCAGAGACUUCAAUCACAACUUCAGUUCAGUUCAGGUUCAGGCGCAGCUGCAGCCUCAAAUUUGCUUCAGUUCAGUGAAUUGUCCAACUUCAGUUCAGUCUGCAGGGAUUGAAAUUGCGGAUCAAAGGAAGGCGGCGACCUCGUCCUCGUCCUCAGAGGAAGGCGACGACCUCGUCCUCGUCCAGGUCCUCGGCGACCUCAGAGGUCCAGGUCCUCGUCCUCAACGGAGUGGCGGCGGACGGCGAGGGAGCUGCGGAGGAGGGAACUGCGGAGGCGGCUGAAGACGAAGGAUGGAGCGUGGCGAGCAGGCCAGCCGCCCUCCGCCGAGCGCGUCCAUGAGCUCUGGCGGGAGGCCGGCGGGAGCUCCGCGCCGGUGGCGCGAGGACAGCGGGAAGGCGAUGGAUUGCACGGAGGGCAGCACGAUGGAUCUGCGCGUCUGCAUGCUCUGGCGGGAGGCCGGCAGGAGCUCUGCUUGCCUUCGGCAGCGCGACGACAGCGGGAUGAAGAUGGAGGGCAGCGCGAUGGGAAGAUUUGGUUUUCAAUUUCAGGUUUGAAUUCCAAAUUUCAAAUGAUCCAGACGUUUGGGGGAGUUUUUUGCAAAAUUUGAAUUGCACUGGAGGUGGAGGAGGACGCAACAUCCUUUCCUCAUCCUUUCCUGGACAGAGGGAGUACUAUAUGACCUGCGGUCACCCGUCACUGUUCAUAAAAGAAUAAAAUAAAAAUCUGACACGGUAUGUCUCCGAGAACUUGGCGAAAACUUGUAUGGCUAGUUCUUCUGCAAAAUACAAAAACAAUUAUUUUCACAGGGUCAGCAAAUAUAUUAGCCUAUUAGGAGAGCUUCAAAUCCACGCGUGCUAUGGUUGUGUUUGCUUACAUGGUUAUCUCGAGCCAUAAAUUUUGUAACUUUGAACUUGAAUGUAAUUUCACACGUUUAAGAAACUGAUUCAAAACCAUUUCAAUCAGGCUAAAAAGCUUUCUGUGAAAUCAUAGGUGAUGUGUAACAUUGGCAAGUGUUUUAGAUUAAACAUUGAUGUGGAUAUUUUGGAUAAUAUGGAUAUUUAUGUGA